rnacentral:rRNA from 1 species
UACGUAGGUGGCGAGCGUUGUCCGGAUUUACUGGGCGUAAAGAGCGCGCAGGCGGUCGUACAAGUCGCGUGUGAAAGCCCCUGGCUCAACUGGGGAGGGUCACGCGAUACUGUUCGACUCGAAGGCAGGAGAGGGAAGUGGAAUUCCCGGUGUAGUGGUGAAAUGCGUAGAGAUCCGGAGGAACACCAGUGGCGAAGGCGACACGCUGGGCGUACCUGACACUGAUACCGCGACAGCAUGGGGAGCGAACGG